UACGUAGGGGGCAAGCGUUGUUCGGAAUUACUGGGCGUAAAGCGCGUGUAGGCGGUUCGAUAAGUCGGAAGUGAAAGCCCUCGGCUCAACCGGGGAACUGCUUUCGAUACUGUCGGACUUGAGUAUGGGAGGGGAGAGCAGAAUUCCCGGUGUAGCGGUGAAAUGCGUAGAUAUCGGGAGGAAUACCGGUGGCGAAGGCGGCUCUCUGGACCAUCACUGACGCUGAGACGCGAAAGCGUGGGGAU
rnacentral:rRNA from 1 species